rnacentral:rRNA from 1 species
UACGUGAGGGGCAAGCGUUGUCCGGAUUUAUUGGGCGUAAAGAGCGUGUAGGCGGCCAUACAGGUCAGCUGUGAAAACUCGAGGCUCAACCUCGAGACGUCGGUUGAAACCGUAUGGCUAGAGUCCGGAAGAGGAGAGUGGAAUUCCCGGUGUAGCGGUGAAAUGCGCAGAUAUCGGGAAGAACACCCGUGGCGAAGGCGGCUCUCUGGGACGGUACUGACGCUGAGACGCGAAAGCGUGGGGAGCGAACAGG